rnacentral:lncRNA from 1 species
UUAAUACCCCAACAAAAUAAACCCACUUAAAUUUUUUACCCCCUUUUUACUAACUCAAAAUUUACCCUUUUUAUCUGAUAAUUUUUUCGUGCUAACUCCGAUUUUUGCGUAUAACAUGUCUAUGAACUCAUAUUAACGUCCUAUACAACUUCCUUAAAGAAAGUUUUCCAAAAUAACUUGCCUACAAAAAGUCAAUUAUAAGGUCUUUAACAGUAAACGGUUACUUAACACGGUAAAAGACCAAGAUAAAACCAAAAAUAAAUAACCGUAAAAUAACUUAAGAACCGGGGUUUGACAAGUACCCUUUAAGCAGUGGCGGAGCCAAGAUUUACACUUAGAGGGGGUUCAAGUUUGACGAUAGACGACUCGAUUUGGAUUUAAUUAUUUUAUUUAAAUAUAAUUUUAAAUUAUUUUCGUUAACUAUAUGCUAAAUGUAGCAGUAUUUAUACAUCAUCUAUCAUCAAAAAAUUUAUAAAUUUUUAUUUAGUUUCAAUAAAGACAAUAAAACGUCACUCAUAAAAAAAAUUAAGUAAAAAGCGUUGAUGGCAAUAAUUUAGACGUUUAAACCUGAAAAUCUUGUAGAACCAUAUUUAUACAUUGGCGGAGCCAGUUCAGGACUAGUGAGGGCCCGUGCCCCCAUUAGAUUUCAACAUAUAGCUGUGUUUUGAUCUGAUGUGCCCCCAUUCCCUCACUAGAAAUCUUACAAUUGUAUUGGUUUAAUAUAUAAAAAUUUCAUAAAGCCCCACAAUUCCCACAAAACAAGAGAAAAAGGAAGCUAUGCACUCUUGAAUAUAUAAUUGAAAAGUUUAAAAUAUGAAAAUCAAGUCGUUUGCUGCGUUAAUGUCAAAAAAAAAGAAGGAGAAAUUACUGGUCACUCCAUUAACUUUCAUGCGCUCGACAGUUUACUCCAUUAACUUUCAAUUUCAAUCGAUCACUCCUCAAACUAUCCAAUGUCACACAAUUAGGUCCAUCCGUUAAGUGGCCGUCCAAAUCAGUGGUUAAGUCGCUGACUGGACAUAUUUUUUAACUGGAAAUUCUAUUUAAUACCCACCUCUCUCUCUCUCNCUCNCUCUNNNCNNCUCNNNNNNNUNUNUNNUNUNUNUCUCUCUCUCUNUCUACUACUACUCUCUACUACUACUAUACUACUACUACUACUACGUACGUACUACUACUACGUACUACUAUAUACUACUAGUACUACGUACUACUACUAUACGUACGUACGUACGUACUACGUACGUACGUAACUACGUACGUAACUUACGUUAACUUAAGUUACGUUAAGUUAGUACUACGUUACUAAGUACGUUACGUUACGUAGUAUAUUAUUAUAUAUAUUAUUACUACUACCUCUCUCUCUCUCUCUCUCUCUCUCUCUCUCUCUCAAAGUAGGCAUAUUUCAUGAAGCCAACUUCAGAUGAAUCAAAUAAACUCCUGUGAACCACUUACUGGUUGUUUUAUGACAGAACAUUAAUGUAUGAUGUCGUGGCAACAGAAUUGAAACAACUCCUUCAUGAGAAACUUCCAAGAGCCCAGAAACCAACUCCACAAAAAGCUUUAUGAAAAGCUGAUGAUUUUUGUUGCCCAGGAUGCCAACUAUAUGCACGAUUUACGCCAUGCUCUGAUG